AUGUCGAGCCCACGGCGGCCGGAGAUGUCACCGGCGGCGAGGAACAACGACAAUGGAUACGUCGAGACCGACCCCACUGGUCGCUACGGCCGGUUCGACGAGCUCCUGGGCAAGGGGGCGAUGAAGUCGGUGUACAGGGGGUUCGACGAGGUGCGCGGCGUGGAGGUGGCAUGGAACCAGGCCAACCUCGCCGACGUCCUCCGCACCCCUGACGCGCUGCAGCGCAUGUACUCCGAGGUCCACCUCCUCAGCACCCUCCGCCACGACGCCAUCAUCGCCUUCCACGCCUCGUGGGUCUCCGUCUCCUCCCCCUCCCCGCGCGGCGGCUGCACCGGCGGCGCCCCCCGCCGCACCUUCAACUUCAUCACCGAGCUCUUCUCCUCCGGCACCCUCCGCGCGUACCGCCUCCGAUACCCGCGCGUCAGCCUCCGCGCCGUCCGCGGCUGGGCACGCCAGAUCCUCCGGGGCCUCGCCUACCUCCACGCCCACGACCCCCCGGUCAUCCACCGCGACCUCAAGUGCGACAACGUGUUCGUCAACGGCAACCAGGGAACCGUCAAGAUCGGCGACCUCGGCCUCGCCGCCGUGCUCCGCGGCGCCCAGGCCGCCCACAGCGUCAUCGGCACGCCCGAGUUCAUGGCGCCCGAGAUGUACGACGAGGACUACGACGAGCUCGUCGACGUCUACUCCUUUGGCAUGUGCAUGCUCGAGAUGCUCACCGUCGAGUACCCCUACGCCGAGUGCUCCAACCCGGCGCAGAUCUACAAGAAGGUCACCUCCGGCAAGCUGCCCGACGCCUUCUACCGGGUCGAUGACGCUGACGCGCGCAGGUUCAUCGGGAGGUGUCUCGUCCCCGCCUCCCACCGCCCCUCCGCCCAGGAGCUCCUGCUCGACCCUUUCCUCUCCACGCAGGACACCACCAUGACGCUGUCACCGCCGCCAUUGCUGCCUGCCUUGCCCACCUCCGGUGACCGGAAGGAUAACCCGGAGGAGGCAGAGCCGGCGGCAGCAAGGACUGACAUGACCAUCACCGGCAAGCUCAACACCGACGACGAUACCAUAUUCCUCAAAGUGCAGAUCGUCGACGAAGCAGGCCAUUCGAGGAACAUCUACUUCCCGUUCGACAUCGCCGGCGAUACAGCGACAGAGGUGGCGAGGGAGAUGGUGAAGGAGCUGGACAUCACGGACCGGGACCCCUCAGAGAUCGCCGCCAUGAUCGAGGAGGAGAUCAUGAGGCUGGUACCGGACUGGGUCAGCGGUGGCUGUGAUGAUCAGCAGGAGUACUAUACGUACGCGGAUAAUGACGACAAUGAGGAGCAGCCUCCAUUCUACUACCUCUCCUCUUCCCCGACCUCUUCCAACGGGUCUCAUUGUGGCAUAGGGCCGACAACAUCAGGUGGCGGCCACGGUGGCUGGUUUCAAGAUUACGCUGUGAGCAGCGACGACGACGAGACAAGCUCCACGCGCUCUGCGCUGCAGUACUCCUCCGAAGAGGCCCAGCCCGAAGAGAAGCCUGGCGUCUCCAAGACGGGCCAGGUGAAGGCCACCAGAUUCGGCCCAGGAGACGGCGGCACAGCAGGACACGACGUGUCGUCGUCGCGCGCCGGCCGGCCGCGGCACCACCGCGGGAGCCCCGACGCCGGCGGCGACGAGGGGCGGCCGCGGAGGCAGCAGGGCCGCAUGACGAGGAACCGGUCGAUGGUGGACGUGCGGAGCCAGCUGCUGCACCGGACGCUUGUGGAGGAGCUCAACAAGCGCAUGUUCUUCAACACCGUCGGCGCGGUCGAGAACAUCGGCUUCCGCCGCAUCCCCGGCUACGGCGGCGGGCCCUCGUCCUCGUCGGCGACGGUGUCGUCCUCGCGCGGGGGCGACCAGCGCGGCCGGAGAAGUGGCAAGGACAAGCACCAGUUCUUCAUGUUCUGA
rnacentral:rRNA from 1 species